rnacentral:rRNA from 1 species
CCUACGGGUGGCAGCAGUGAGGAAUAUUGGUCAAUGGACGAGAGUCUGAACCAGCCAAGUAGCGUGAAGGAUGACUGCCCUAUGGGUUGUAAACUUCUUUUAUAUGGGAAUAAAACGUUCCACGUGUGGGAUUUUGUAUGUACCAUAUGAAUAAGGAUCGGCUAACUCCGUGCCAGCAGCCGCGUUAAUACGGAGGAUCCGAGCGUUAUCCGGAUUUAUUGGGUUUAAAGGGAGCGUAGGUGGAUUGUUAAGUCAGUUGUGAAAGUUUGCGGCUCAACCGUAAAAUUGCAGUUGAAACUGGCAGUCUUGAGUACAGUAGAGGUGGGCGGAAUUCGUGGUGUAGCGGUGAAAUGCUUAGAUAUCACGAAGAACUCCGAUUGCGAAGGCAGUUCACUGGACUGCAACUGACACUGAGGCUCGAAAGUGUGGGUAUCAAACAGGAUUAGAUACCCCAGUAGUC